UCUACUUGUAAGCUAUCGCUUUGCGAUGGGUCUGCGUCUGAUUAGCUGGUUGGUGGGGUAACGGCCUACCAAGGCGACGAUCAGUAGCCGGUCUGAGAGGAUGAACGGCCACAUUGGAACUGAGACACGGUCCAGACUCCUACGGGAGGCAGCAGUGGGGAAUCUUCCGCAAUGGGCGAAAGCCUGACGGAGCAACGCCGCGUGAGUGAAGAAGGGUUUCGGCUCGUAAAGCUCUGUUGACGGGGACGAACGUGCGAGAUGCGAAUAGUUUCUUGCAAUGACGGUACCCGUCGAGGAAGCCACGGCUAACUACGUGCC
rnacentral:rRNA from 1 species